rnacentral:lncRNA from 1 species
GUUUCUAUUACUACUAACGCCCUGUAUAGACUGUGAGUUCAGGACACACAGCAGAGUGUGAGGAGCCCCCCAUGGUGCUUCAACCAACCCUCAUCAUUAAUUAUAUACUCUAAGUGGCAUAUUAGGAAUCUUGGGAAGUGUCUUUGCUACACAGGCAAAAACGAUGAUUGGAAAGAUAAGAUGCAAGAUGAGAAAUCACUGCUACCCCAUGAAGUCAAAUGUACACUCUAUAUCCGAUGUGGAGCCUAGUGUGGGGCUCCCACUCACAACCUUGAGAUCAAGACCUGAACCUUGAGAUCAAGACUUGAACCAAGAUCAAGAGUCUGCCACUCAACAGACUGAGCCACUUAGACACCUCAAAAUACAAUUCUUCUUAAUAACUUUUAGAUUUACAUGAACUGUAAGUCCCUUUCCACUUCCUGAAGAAUAACAUCUCUAAGUCAUUCAUUCAUUUGUUUAUUCAUAACUGGUCCCAUUUUCUUGCUCUGCUGCUUAUACAAUAGUGAGUAUGCAAUGUUCCAUGCUCUCAAAGAUCUCAGAUUCUAGUGAAUGAGAGAAGGAUAUCAACAGUAACAGAGACACCAUUAAAGACAGAGAAAUUAAAGGCAAAGACA